rnacentral:precursor_RNA from 1 species
CGGUUGGCACUCUGAUUGGCUGGCUCGCAUAAACUAACCAAUCAGAUCGCCGCAUGCG